AUUUAUAUAGUUUAAUUAAAACCUUACAUUUUCACUGUAAAAAUAAAGCAAUUUCUUUUAUAAAUU
rnacentral:tRNA from 1 species